GACGAACGCUGGCGGCGUGCUUAACACAUGCAAGUCGAACGGAAAGGCCCUGCUUUUGUGGGGUGCUCGAGUGGCGAACGGGUGAGUAACACGUGAGUAACCUGCCCUUGACUUUGGGAUAGCUUCAGGAAACUGGGGCUAAUACCGGAUAGGAGCUCCUGCUGCAUGGUGGGGGUUGGAAAGUUUCGGCGGUUGGGGAUGGACUCGCGGCUUAUCAGCUUGUUGGUGGGGUAGUGGCUUACCAAGGCUUUGACGGGUAGCCGGCCUGAGAGGGUGACCGGCCACAUUGGGACUGAGAUACGGCCCAGACUCCUACGGGAGGCAGCAGUGGGGAAUAUUGCACAAUGGGCGGAAGCCUGAUGCAGCAAUGCCGCGUGCGGGAUGACGGCCUUCGGGUUGUAAACCGCUUUCGCCUGUGACGAAGCGUGAGUGACGGUAAUGGGUAAAGAAGCACCGGCUAACUACGUG
rnacentral:rRNA from 1 species